UUGGUAGUAUAGUGGUCAGUAUCCCCGCCU
rnacentral:sRNA from 1 species